GAGGGUAUAAUUCAGUGGUAGAGGGUGUGCUUAGUGUGUACAAGGUCCUGGGUUCAAUCCCAGUGCCUCUA
rfam:Camelus ferus unplaced genomic scaffold scaffold288, whole genome shotgun sequence.